GAGAAUGAUAACUUUCACUAUUGCCAUCGUAUAGAGAGCUUUUCCUUAACUAGCUUUCUGCUUUGCUAGACUUCUUGCUUUUCUUUUGUUUUUGCUUCAGCUGAGUAAGGCCUGAAGAUGUGAUUUUGACAUUACCCAUAAUUGCAGCAACAAGCUCAGGAUCUGUGCAUGCCUUCAUCAAUUCCUUCUCUCUGCUCGUAGCCUCAGCCAUGUGACUAAACAAAUUCAUGGCCGUCUUGGCCGCUUUUCCUCUCUUAACAGUGCCUGGCACCAACUUCACACGAUAUUUGUACGACUGUACUGCAUUAUAAGGACCACAGACGGGCACAGCAUAUAAUAGAAUAUCAUUUGGCAAUGGAUUUCCAGUCAAGUAGUCCACAUCAUUUAAUUUUUCUCUCUCUUCUUCACCAAUCUCAUGGAUAUCCUCCUCCAUGACUAUCCUGUCCCUGUCAUUAGCAGCAUUACCCACAUUGGUUAAAGAAUGGGGAUCCCCUCCAUUCGAUGUAUUUUGCAGACUCUCGUCUGCAUUUUCUUGACAAUCCCGAGAGAGAUGACCCGCCUUUUUACACUUGUAACAUAUUUUUGCAGCAUCUUCAAUCCCAGUAGUUGCUUUUGCUCCCUUAUCUGGCUCUGCAUCAGCCUUUUCAAUCUGGAUUGUUUGAUCAGCCUUUUCAACCUUUCCAGCAGAAGCCAGCAGCGCCAUUCGAAUACGACGCUCCUCCUCAUCCUGAUCUGCAUAUUUCUCUUUUAUCUUCUUAAGUUUACCCUUUUGCCCACGACUGACUUUCCCGCCACCAGACUUUGCUUUGUUUACAUCUCCCUCACACUGCUUCUGAGUCUUCUGAUUUUCUUCAGACUGCUUUCCUCGCACAGUGGGUGCACCCUUAGAGCUAUCACUGCCUUUCUUAAGCUUUCUUCUCUCAGUUUUUGUAAUAUAAGGCUUUUCUCUCUGUGUUACUUUUUUUUCUUCAUCAUUAUGCUGCCCUGGAGAUCCUAAGGGAGAAUGGACCCCAUAAUUCUUAGUAGAUGCAGUAGAAGAUCCAAUUUCGAGAGCUCUAUCAAUAAGAUCCUCCAGCUGUGAUGCCCCAGAAGUAGCCAUUAUCCUCAAAGAAUCUGAUGUACCAUCAUUAUUAUUGCAAUUAACUUCAACAGAAGAGUUGACUGAAUUGCUAGCUUGAUCAUCAGAGAUGCUCAAGAAGAAAUUGGAUUGAGCUUCAAAAGGAACACCCGGAACAUUUGACCUAUCUUUUGGCAUACCUGUUAUGCCCAGCUUAUCUACAACUGGUGUUUCCAUCGACAACUCCUCCUCCGAGUCGGAUUCAGGAAUUGCUUUCGAUGGCUCACCUUGUUCAGCAUCAUUUAAUCCUUCCUCUUCACCUCUAACUCUCCUUUCAUUCAAGUGAAACCCCAAAGAACUUUCAUCCAUGCGAAACAAUAUUCCAAAGCCCAUAACAAGAGGGUGUGGUGGAAGAAAAUUCUUUUUGCCACGGAUCAUGAAACUUCCUACUGUUAGA
rnacentral:misc_RNA from 1 species